GCGAGGAUGGCGGAACUGGUAGACGCGCUAGACUUAGGAUCUAGUAUCGAAAGAUGUGAGGGUUCAAGUCCCUUUCCUCGCA
rnacentral:tRNA from 1 species